rnacentral:rRNA from 1 species
CCUACGGGUGGCAGCAGUGAGGAAUAUUGGUCAAUGGACGAAAGUCUGAACCAGCCAAGUAGCGUGAAGGAUGACUGCCCUAUGAGUUGUAAACUUCUUUUAUACAAGAAUAAAACGAGGCACGUGUGCCUUUUUGCAUGUACUUUAUGAAUAAGGAUCGGCUAACUCCGUGCCAGCAGCCGCGGUAAUACGGAGGCUCCGAGCGUUAUCCGGAUUUAUUGGGUUUAAAGGGAGCGUAGAUGGUUUGUUAAGUUAGUUGUGAAAGUUUGCGGCUCAACCGUAAAAUUGCCAUUGAUACUGGCAGUCUAGAGUACAGUUGAGGUAGUCGGAAUGCGUGGUGUAGCGGUGAAAUGCUUAGAGAUCACGCAGAACACCGAUUGCGAAGGCAGCUUACUAAGCUAUGACUGACAUUGAUGCUCGAAAGUGUGGGGAGCAAACAGGAUUAGAUACCCGGGUAGUC